GCUAGGUGUGGUGGCGCACGCCUGUAGUCCCAGCUACUUGGGAGGCUGAGGUGGGAGAAUUGCUUGAACCCAGGAGGCAGAGGUUGAAGUGAGCUGAGACUGUGCCACUGCACUCCAGCCUGGGCAACAGAGCGAGACUCCACCUCAA
rnacentral:SRP_RNA from 1 species